rnacentral:lncRNA from 10 species
AGGGCACUGGGCCAGGAAGGAGGCAGAAGCCUGCAGGAGAGGCCUGUGGAGGGGCUUCGGGCCUCAGACAAGCCCCUCUCUGGUGUCCUUGGAGCCCAGGAUACCUGGCUGGUAAGGCUUCUAACUCUGGGUAUGACCUGGCCUAGCGCUGCCAGCUCUGGCCUUCAGGCUCCUUGUGGGGCAGGGACAGGAGUUGCUCCUAGAUCAGAGGUUCACAAAGUUGGUCCCUGAACCAGCAGCAUCAGCAGCACCUGGGAACUUGAGAGAAGUGCAGAUCCUUGGCUCCCCACUACAGAUCUACUACGUCGGAAACCUUGGGGUGCAGCCCAGUGAUCUGUGUUUAACAAGCCCUCCAGGCAAUUCUGAUGCAUGCUCAAGUUUGAGGACCACUGCAUGCAAUAAUCUGUGGGCCAAUAUCAAACCCAUAUCUUCUAUAAAGAGUCAUUCAACAAAGUGAGAUCUAAGGCUUAAGUAGUGCUCACUGUGUGCCAGGUACUCAGCUGACUGCUUUGUGUAUGCUAACUCAUUUAAUCCUCAAGCCAACCCAUUGAGGUCAGGUUCUAUGAUCAUUUCUCCAUUUUACAGGUGAUAUAAAUGCUGUUUUCACCAGAAGCCACAGUUCUGGGAUCUCAGAAGUGAUGGAUGAUCCUAGGCCCAACUCAGAGAUUGGCCCAUGCUGGCUAACUAGUAUGGUAGCUGGCUGGACAUUCCCUGGGUAAUUUUCUUAAAAUGCCCUUCAGAAGCUGUCCUGCCACCUAAAAGGUGGAGCAGUGGGGAGAACCCUCACUCCAGAACUAGAGAAUCAGGCAAGUGGAGUGAGAGAAGCAAGAAGAGGCCUGAAGGAAGUGAGGCCUGAGAGGGAUGCAGGGUCCCAUAAAGAACUGUUUCUCCAAAUGUGGUGCCUGGACCAGCAGCAUCAACAAUGCCUGGGAGCCUAUUAGAAAUGCAGAAUCGUGGACCCUACUCAAGACUUACUGAAUCUGAAUCUGCAUGUUAAUAAGAUCCCCAGGGAUUUGUGAGCACAUUCAAGUUCAAGAAGUCCUGGAUGAGGCACACGGGUAGAUCCCUGACCCCUUCCCACUACAGGAUAAUGGGGAUCUGGGAUCUGCACCAUGCUCAGUCCAGCUCUGUGGGGGCUCUGGCUCUCUCAUUGGCACAAGCAUCCCCUCAGUUAACCCUGGAACUUGAGGUCACUGGAGGAGGCCUCCAGUCCUUAAAACCCCACAGCCAAACUAGUACAAUGAGUGAGAUGCUCUCACCCUGCUGAGUCGCCACUUCCCAAGGUGGAGGAUCUUCACUUCCUUUGUUUCUUUUCCUAGAAUGUGGGCUCUGCGUUCUAACCCAGGCUCCGCCACUUACUGACUGUGAUCCUGGAAGUUGCUAAACUUCUCUGCACCUUGGUUUUCCUUUUCUGUAAUAUAGAGGUGACACAUUUUCUAGAUCAUAGCUUUUUUUGGUGCAUAUAUCUAAGCAAAUAUAUACAUCAUGCUUAGAAGAGUGGUUGGCACACACCGCCAUUAACAUUCGUCACUUGCUAUGAGCCUUCCAUCUUUCCCUCUUCUGGGUGGCCCUUGGGCUGGGGUGGGAUGAAGGGAAGGUGGUGCUUACCUGUGAGGAGUCAAGGAAAGCAGUGCAAAGGCAGGGAUACUGGACUGGAGGUGACUCCUGUAGGGGGAAGAAGGAAAUGUGUUUGUAUGACACUGGGGUAUGCCAGGCUCAGUGCCAGGCACUUUCUUCCCUUCCACAGUUACACCAGAAUAGUGCUGUUAUUUUAUAAUCCUACAGAUGGGGACUGAAGUCCCAGAAGGGCAGUGACCAGGCCAAGGUAUUGCAGUUAGUGAGGGGUGGAGCUAGUGCUUGAUGGGUCUGCCUGGCCAGCUUAACCUCAGCCACCCUCAUGUGCCCCAUGCUUCCUCCUCCACUGCAACCCAACUCAAGCCCUAGAGGGGGAUCCAGAAGGCCAGGGCUGGCAGAGGAACAGGGAGUCUGAGAGCUCUUGGGCAUGAAGCUUGUGGCUCCUUCCCUAGGUCCUCGGUUUCCCCUGGUUGGGCCUCCUUUUUGCAGGACAGCGGGACAGGUCUACUGAAUGGACCUAUCAUGGGUUUGGCUUCUCCUGGCUUUGCUUCCCCUGCACAGUUUUCUGUCCCCCUGUCCCAUGACUGGGAGGCAGGCCUUUGGCAGAUAUGUUAAAACGCCAGCAUGGGGUACUUCUGGUUUCAGCUCUGAUGUAUAAAGAGUUUGGAAGUUGUCACACCCAUCCUCACACCAUGAAAUAAGUUGAACAAACUGAAAGUCAACAAUGUUUCUUAAUUCUCUUCAGAGAAUUAAGGUCACAGGGCAAACUGCCACUCUGAAAUCUGGGGAGAUGAGUGAAUACAGCCAAGAUCAGCUUACUUGAAGCAGAAACCACUGGAGUCAGGAACUGUUGGGAACACUUGAAUAGUAAUUUUGAUGAAUUUCUGGAAAUUAAGAAUGAACUUGCUUGAAAAUUAAAAACUUCUGGGGGCCUAGUUGUAGGUCUCCCUUCAAUACGUAAGUGGGUUUUACCUCCAGGAACCCCUCCAGACUGACAUUGGGAAGAUCAGAGAAAAAAAACCCUUGUUCCAGACAAAAAGAGUGGAAAAAUAACCAUUUGAAAUACCCCUAGAGCUUUCUCAGUAACAAAGACCAACCCUCCCGAGAAACUACUUUAUCAGAGCCUCGUCUGACUUGAGCAAUUAGACAACUCAACCCCCUCCAUCCUUCCUGUCUCUCUUACUUAAGGAGAAGGGAAAAAAAUAAUGGGGCCAAAAAAUGCUUCUGAGGGUCACAGCCCAGGGGCUCAGGCCAACUGAAAAAACUAAGAUUUAAUAAUAAAAGUAUAGAGUGCCUCCUCUCCCCAACAUUUUAUUUCCACCACCACAACAGGUCUUCAGUAUAAUAACAAUGAAUUACAAAUGUAACAGCUGUAAGACACAGACUCUUUAAGAAGGAGUUCUUAGGGAAACCCAAAGUUAACCACGGAGAAAAAACAAACCAAGGAAAUUAGAGGAAACCAAAGCCUUUGGCACCUAUAACUAUAGCAAACCUUAAACACAGCUCAGCUCUAGUAAGAUUAAAAUAAAAACUCAGGCUAAACAUGGUGGCUCAUGCCUGUAAUCCCGCACUUUGGGAGGCCUAGGUGGGCGAAUCACUUGAGGUCAGGAGUUCGAGACCAGCCUGGCCAACACAGCAAAACCUCAUCUCUACUAAAAAUACAAAAAUUAGCCAGCUAUAGUGGUGGGUGCCUGUAAUCCCAGCUAUCCAGGAGGCUGAGGCAGGAGGAUCACUGGAACCCAGGAGGCAGAGGUUGCAGUGAGAUGAGAUUGCACCCCUGCACUCCAGCCUAGGUGACAAGAGUGAGACUCUGUCUAAAAAAAAACCAAAAACCAAAAAACGAACAAACAAAAAACACCAACACACACACACACACACACACACACACACAAAAAAAAAAAAAAAAAAAAAAAACAGAAUUAGCUGGGCAUGGUGCGUGCCUGUAAUCCCAGCUACUUGGGAGGCUGAGGCAGAAGAAUUGCUUGAACCUGGGAGACGGAGUUUGCAGUGAGCCGAGAUUGCACCAUGGCACACCAGCCUAGGCAACAAGAGUGAAACUCCAUCUCAAAAUAAAUAAACAAAUAAGAAACAAGUGCAGUGAAUAGAAAACAAUUAUAAACACGAUACAUAAUAAUCCAACUAUAUCAAUAAUCACUUUAAAUACGAAUGCUUUAAAUGUACCAAUUAAAAAUAGGCUGUCAGAGGAAUAAAAAAAGCUCUCUGUUGUCUACAAGAAGCCACUUUAACUAUAAAGGUGAAAAGUAAAGAGACAAAAUCUAACACUUUUUCAUGACAAAACUCCCAAGAAAGUAGGAACAAAGGAGAAUUUCCUCAAUUUGGUAAAGAAUAUUUGCAAAACCUUAGAGCUAACAUCACGCUUAAUAGUGAGAAAUUAGAUACUUUCCAGCAAAGGUCAGAAACAAGCCAAAGAUGUCCCCUCUCACCAGUCCUAUUCAACAUCGUACUG